rnacentral:rRNA from 1 species
CCUACGGGUGGCAGCAGUGGGGAAUAUUGCACAAUGGGGGAAACCCUGAUGCAGCAACGCCGCGUGAGUGAUGAAGGCCUUCGGGUUGUAAAGCUCUGUCUUCAGGGACGAUAAUGACGGUACCUGAGGAGGAAGCCACGGCUAACUACGUGCCAGCAGCCGCGGUAAUACGUAGGUGGCAAGCGUUGUCCGGAUUUACUGGGCGUAAAGGGAGCGUAGGCGGAUACUUAAGUGGGAUGUGAAAUACCUGGGCUUAACUUGGGUGCUGCAUUCCAAACUGGGUGUCUAGAGUGUUGGAGAGGAAAGUGGAAUUCCUAGUGUAGCGGUGAAAUGCGUAGAGAUUAGGAAGAACACCAGUGGCGAAGGCGACUUUCUGGACAAUAACUGACGCUGAGGCUCGAAAGCGUGGGGAGCAAACAGGAUUAGAUACCCCGGUAGUC